GGGCCGCUGGUGUUUAACGGCAGCAUUACCGGCUUUUAACCGGUCAGGUCCGGGUUCGAGUCCUCGGGCGACCCACCA
rnacentral:tRNA from 1 species